GAGCCCGAGACUUGAGUCGGGAUUUGUUUGGCGAGUGAUUGAGAUUUGGUAGUGAGCGAUCGAGGUGCAGACGUUCGUUUUGGUGAUCCUCCAGUAUAGGAUACAUAUUCUGCCACUUGGAUUACUCUUUUUGAUUCGGAGCUCAUAUUUUUGGUACAUAUCUUCUGUUAUAUACACUCUGUAUGUAUGACUAUUUGGGUACGGCGGGGCCUUGUCCCGUCAUAUGUUCUGUUAUGUUUUGUAGAGGCCUGUAGUCAUAUAUGUGGGUCAUGGGUCAUGUUUGUUCGUUUGUGAUUAUGAUUUACGUCUUAAUGCGGCCCCGUUUACUAUUAUGGCCAAAACGGCCCAUUUGUCUGUAUAUGUGUAUAUAUCUGGCGAUGUGUAUCCCGCCAAUCUAUUGGGUUUGGAUAUGAUGUUUCUGUACGGGCGACUGCUUAAGAUGAUAUUUGCUUUCCGUAUUUGCUUAAAAUGACGUAUGUUAAGUUUGAAUGAA